UGAGCUUGAUCUGGCUCAGAUUGAACGCUGGCGGCAUGCCUUACACAUGCAAGUCGAACGGUAACAGCUCUUCGGAGGCUGACGAGUGGCGAACGGGUGAGUAAUACAUCGGAACGUGCCCGAUCGUGGGGGAUAACGGAGCGAAAGCUUUGCUAAUACCGCAUACGAUCUACGGAUGAAAGCAGGGGACCCUCGGGCCUUGCGCGAACGGAGCGGCCGAUGGCAGAUUAGGUAGUUGGUGGGAUAAAAGCUUACCAAGCCGACGAUCUGUAGCUGGUCUGAGAGGACGACCAGCCACACUGGGACUGAGACACGGCCCAGACUCCUACGGGAGGCAGCAGUGGGGAAUUUUGGACAAUGGGCGAAAGCCUGAUCCAGCAAUGCCGCGUGCAGGAUGAAGGCCUUCGGGUUGUAAACUGCUUUUGUACGGAACGAAAAGUCUCGGGAUAAUACCCUGGGACCAUGACGGUACCGUA
rnacentral:rRNA from 1 species